UAUCUGUGGUGGGCGUAGGAGAUUUGAGGGGGGCUGCCUCUAGUACGAGAGGACCGAGGCGGACGAACCUCUUGUGAUCCAGUUGUCACGCCAGUGGCAUAGCUGGGUAGCGAAGUUCGGUCGAGAUAAGCGCUGAAAGCAUAUAAGCGCGAAGCUCUCCCCAAGAUGAGAUCUCCCAAGCGCAAGCUAAUAAGGGCACUCGAAGACGACGAGUUUGAUAGGACGGAUGUGUACGCGUGGUAACACGUUCAGCUAACCGUUACUAAUCGCCCGUUCGGCUUGACCAUAAAA
rnacentral:rRNA from 1 species